UGGUCAAGUUAUUAAGGGUGCAGGGCGGAUGCCUUGGCACUAGGAGCCGAUGAAGGACGUGAUAAGCUGCGAUAAGCUUCGGGGAGUUGCACGUAAACUUUGAUCCGAAGAUUUCCGAAUGAGGAAACUCACUUAGAGUAAUGUCUAAGUAUCAUUAAGUGAAUACAUAGCUUAAUGAGGGGAACUCAGGGAACUGAAACAUCUAAGUACCUGAAGGAAGAGAAAGAAAUUCGAUUCCGUAAGUAGCGGCGAGCGAACGCGGAUUAGCCCAAACCAAUAAAGUUUUCUUUAUUGGGGUUGCGGACAUAUCAUAACGAAGAGGUAUCGUAAUUGAAGAGGUUUGGAAAGACUCACCACAGAAGGUAAUAGUCCUGUAUGUUAAACGAGAAGACUUCAGAUAUGAUCCAGAGUACCACGGGA
rnacentral:rRNA from 1 species